rnacentral:rRNA from 1 species
UACGGAGGGUGCAAGCGUUAAUCGGAAUAACUGGGCGUAAAGCGCACGCAGGCGGUUAGAUAAGUCAGAUGUGAAAGCCCCGGGCUCAACCUGGGAACUGCAUUUGAAACUGUCUGACUAGAGUCUUGUAGAGGGGGGUAGAAUUCCAGGUGUAGCGGUGAAAUGCGUAGAGAUCUGGAGGAAUACCGGUGGCGAAGGCGGCCCCCUGGACAAAGACUGACGCUGAUGCUCGAAAGUGUGGGUAUCAAAC